ACCUAGACUAAGGCCAAGAGAAUAGGACAGCAGAGAUGAUAAGUCAUGUGUUUAUCUAAAGUAAGAUUCUCUCUUGCACAUGACCUGUGCCUAGAGAGAGGUUUGGAGUCUGGGAACUCUGCCAACCACAACUUG
rfam:Rattus norvegicus chromosome 3, whole genome shotgun sequence.